UCACUGCUGUGGGACCUGUACAGGCAUG
rnacentral:sRNA from 1 species